AAAAAAAAAAAAAAAAAAAAAGAAGAAGAGAAAGGAACAUCAAACUCCAAAGUCUAAACAAAACAAAACAGAGACAAAAUCGCCGGAGAAAACGAGACUCAGAGUGAUCUCUAUCUGUGUCUCUAAACAUCCACAUGCACAUACUCUUCUCUCUUUUUCUCAAUCCGCUCCUAUUCCAUUUUCCUCCACCUAUCCACAGUCCAUCUCUCUCUCUGAUCCAAAUCUCUGUCUUCACAUCCGCUGUUCUUCUUCUCUCCGGCGGCUGAUCGUACAAUGUGGUGUUAAGUUUUUCUUUUGGUGAAUGGGGUAAUGGCCGAUUCGUUAUCAUCAGCUGGUGUUAAAGAGAACAAGCUAUGGAAAGGGGUUUUUGCCGUGGCAGGAAUCAUGACCACUCUUGUGAUCUAUGGUGUUUUGCAGGAAAAGAUCAUGAGAGUCCCUUAUGGGGAGAACAAAGAGUAUUUCAAGUACUCGCUAUUUCUUGUUUUCUGUAACCGCAUUACAACCUCUGCUGUUUCUGCUGGCGUUCUAUUGGCAAGUAAAAAGGCCUUGAACCCUGUUGCUCCAGUUUACAAGUACUGCCUCAUAUCAGUAUCCAACAUAUUAACCACAACUUGCCAAUAUGAGGCCCUCAAAUAUGUCAGUUUUCCUGUUCAGACACUUGCAAAAUGUGCCAAAAUGAUUCCUGUCAUGAUCUGGGGUACUGUCAUUAUGCAAAAGAGAUACNNNNNNNNNNNNNAUGGACUACUUAAUUGCUUUUCUAGUUACUUUGGGUUGUUCAAUUUUUAUUUUAUUUCCGGCAGGAACUGAUAUCAGUCCAUACAGCAGAGGAAGGGAAAAUACUGUUUGGGGUGUUACCCUGAUGCUUGGUUAUCUUGGGUUUGAUGGCUUUACUAGCACAUUCCAAGAUAAACUAUUUAAAGGUUAUGAUAUGGAAAUACACAACCAAAUUUUCUACACUACGUUAUGCUCUUGUGCUCUCAGUUUCACAGGCCUUGUAGUGCAAGGGCAUCUACUUCUAGCCGUAGACUUUGUUUAUCGCCAUAAAGAUUGUUUGUUUGACAUUGCUCUGCUUUCCACUGUAGCAACUGCUAGCCAGUUCUUUAUUUCUUACACAAUUCGCACAUUUGGUGCUCUCACUUUUGCUGCCAUAAUGACGACACGACAGUUGGUGAGCAUCAUGCUGUCAUGCGUGUGGUUUGCCCAUCCUCUUAGCUGGGAACAAUGGAUUGGAGCUGUUAUCGUCUUCGGUUCUCUGUAUUCAAAGAAUUUCUUGAAAAGUGGGUCUUCAAGGACUCCACCU
rnacentral:misc_RNA from 1 species